rnacentral:rRNA from 1 species
UGCAGUCGAGCGAACGGAUAAGGAGCUUGCUCCUUUGAAGUUAGCGGCGGACGGGUGAGUAACACGUGGGUAACCUACCUAUAAGACUGGAAUAACUUCGGGAAACCGGAGCUAAUGCCGGAUAACAUAUAGAACCGCAUGGUUCUAUAGUGAAAGAUGGUUUUGCUAUCACUUAUAGAUGGACCCGCGCCGUAUUAGCUAGUUGGUAAGGUAAUGGCUUACCAAGGCGACGAUACGUAGCCGACCUGAGAGGGUGAUCGGCCACACUGGAACUGAGACACGGUCCAGACUCCUACGGGAGGCAGCAGUAGGGAAUCUUCCGCAAUGGGCGAAAGCCUGACGGAGCAACGCCGCGUGAGUGAUGAAGGUUUUC